GGAUGUUUAGCUCAGUUGGUAGAGCUUCUGACUCUUAAUCAGGCGGUCCUGGGUUCGAGUCCCAGAACAUUCA
rnacentral:tRNA from 2 species